rnacentral:lncRNA from 1 species
UCAUUGGUAAAAGAUUGCGGCUACAAACGAGACCAUGGCUUUUGUAAGGCUGGUCGUAAUGGGAGUAUCAUAAGUAGUAUCAUGCAUGCCAACUAGGCAAAUUUAAUGGGGUGGCAUAGAAUUAAAUGAAGAAAGAGAGGGUUGAGUACCAUAUCAUGAUAACGUAUCAUAUUAAAUGUUGUGCUACUGCUAAUAAAUGAAGUCAUUUAUGAUACUAACUUAUGAUACUAUGCACUACGAAUGUAGUAUCAUACCCUAGUAUCAUAUGCAUGAUACUAAUAUAUGAUACUUAUCAUUACAACCAGCCUAAUGUAGAGCGCCGCUGUCCAUCGUAAUAUACAAGGGAGAAUAAUAGUACACUUGAAGAAUCUGCAAUGACAACGCCACACACACACACACACACACGGCCGGUCGGUGAAGAGAAACGCGUCCUUGGCCCUCUGAUCUGAUGCUUACAAGGUGUACAACAUACUACUGCCACUGACCCUUUUCUCCCAAGGUACAGACUACAGAGAGAGAGAGAGAGAGAGAGAGA